CAAGACUUCCCAAUCUUGAUAUAGUCGUCAGCUUCUUGCCAACGGACCUUUAAAAACGCCACUGUCCUUUCUUGCUGCAAAAUGAAAUCUUUCUCUCUUCCUGCCAAAUAGGAGAUGCGGUGUAAGAUACAAGAAAUCUCUUUUCCAGGACCCAUUGGCAUAUUUCAUAAUGUCACUGAGUGACCUGGCUAUGGAACAACUUCUUCUGCCAGUUGGGCAAAUCAUUAGGAAGCUGAAAUUGCUUUUGUGAAUUCCAGUUGCUUUUCUUGAUGAACCAUUUGAAAAUGAAGGCACUGAGAUGUAAUUCUACAAAGGCACCACUUUACUGAAGUUCACCUACAUCCCCCAUGCCCCAAAUUUCAUUGCUAGCAUGUGACAGGUGGGUUGUCUGUUUAUUCCUUGGCUCUUUGGUGGGCCAGAUUCUUAACUGGCAAACUGGCUUUCAUGGAACGGUGCCAAUUUACAUCUAUUAGUUUCCCCCAUCUGUGUUGCUAAGUUCUGUGCUAUUGUGUUUAAGAUCUGCCAAGUAAUGCUUAAGGUGCCCUCAAAUGGUUAGGCAAAGUAUUUUACCUUAUUAGGUGAAUUGGUCUUUACCUAAAUGUGGUUAAUUUGAUAGAUGGACUGUAUGCUUGCUAUCAACUGUAACUGUUGUGAACGGUUUCUGGUCAAGUACUGUAAUAAAGAUCUAUCUAUCUAGUUUCUAA